GGGUGAGCAACUUUACCUACUAAUGUUUACUGCAACCAGGAGCUGCCCUGCACAUCACAACAAAGCCAUGGAGACAGCCGGCCUGCCCCCAUAGGGACAGCAAGGGUACGGAGAAACUACAUGAGGUCUUUUACAGAAGAAAGCUUUAGCCCGAAGAGAAUGUAAAAAAAAAGACCCGUUCUCGCCACUGUGUACUCACAAACUCUUCUUCUGUAACUUCUGGCGGCUCUGGAAGGAGACAAAACGUUACCUUUUCGUACUCAGAUCUUCCUUUUAGACUAACUGAAAUCAUCUGCGACAGCCCCUGGCGCUACUGUAUAUACAUAUAUCCCGGGUGGGUGAGGGAAGAGCUUGCUACAGGUGUCAGAACAUCCCCCCAAGGGGACAGAGUUGGAACCUGCUCACCACUGGGUGCCUGUGCCUGUGCCUGCACUGAUCUUAAGGCCAAGCGACUCAGAAGGCAGAGCCGAGUGGCAGCAUCCUGAACACGUAACACAGCGGCCCCCUGUGGUAAAGAAAGGAGAAACAACACUGCAAAAUCACAGCAGCUUUCUGCCUGGCCCUGAUGGGACACAGGAGAAUCUCCUGCAAGUCUGUAGCACUGCAGCGUAAUGUAAGAGAGAGCCUGCACCAACAAGAUGGAAGGCAAGAGCCAGCUCCCCAACGUUGCCCUGACCUCCACAUUCGGACCCUGGCAUGGCUAGGCAAAAAUCAAAGAAAAAUCAAGAGCUCACUAAAAGAACACCCGCUAGAUUCAGACACAAUUGAUGUCUACAGCACCAAACCAAUCAAGGCGUCAGC
rnacentral:lncRNA from 1 species